rnacentral:rRNA from 1 species
AUUGAACGCUGGCGGCAUGCUUUACACAUGCAAGUCGAACGGUAACAGGCCUUCGGGUGCUGACGAGUGGCGAACGGGUGAGUAAUGCAUCGGAACGUACCCAGAGGUGGGGGAUAACGCAGCGAAAGCUGUGCUAAUACCGCAUGUGAUCUGAGGAUGAAAGCGGGGGACCGAGCAGCAAUGUUUGGCCUCGCGCCUUUGGAGCGGCCGAUGUCGGAUUAGCUAGUUGGUGAGGUAAAGGCCUACCAAGGCGACGAUCCGUAGCUGGUCUGAGAGGACGACCAGCCACACUGGGACUGAGACACGGCCCAGACUCCUACGGGAGGCAGCAGUGGGGAAUUUUGGACAAUGGGCGCAAGCCUGAUCCAGCAAUGCCGCGUGCGGGAAGAAGGCCUUCGGGUUGUAAACCGCUUUUGGCAGGAACGAAACGGUGUCCGCUAAUACCGGGCGCUAAUGACGGUACCUGCAGAAUAAGCACCGGCUAACUACGUG